rnacentral:rRNA from 1 species
CACGUAGGGCGCGAGCGUUGUCCGGAAUUAUUGGGCGUAAAGAGCUCGUAGGCGGCCUGUUGCGUCCGCUGUGAAAACUCGAGGCUCAACCUCGAGACGCCGAUGGAAACCGUCUGGCUAGAGUCCGGAAGAGGAGAGUGGAAUUCCCGGUGUAGCGGUGAAAUGCGCAGAUAUCGGGAAGAACACCCGUGGCUAAGGCGGCUCUCUAGUACGGUACUGACGCUGAGACGCGAAAGCGUGGGGAGCGAACAGG